CUUCAUUCCUGCUGUUACCCAUUUAUAACCUUGGGAUGAGCAUCAGCAAAUACUAUGAUAACGAAGAGGUGUUUGGCAUUUUGGAGCAAGCUAAAGAGCAAUUUGAUUUAGAAGACUAUUCUGUCAGUCAGAUCACACUGGAACAAGUCUUCCUGACCUUUGCUAACCCAGAGAAAUCAUCCAGUGAUGAUGAAAACGAGGUGCCAUGAGAUUCCCUCUAAAAAAAAAAAAAAAAAAAAAAAAAACAGAAAAAGAAAAAAAA
rnacentral:lncRNA from 1 species